rnacentral:rRNA from 1 species
UACGUAGGGUGCGAGCGUUGUCCGGAAUUAUUGGGCGUAAAGAGCUCGUAGGCGGUGUGCCGCGUCGGCCGUGAAAACCUGCAGCUUAACUGUGGGCUUGCGGUCGAUACGGGCAUCACUGGAGUUCGGCAGGGGAGACUGGAAUUCCUGGUGUAGCGGUGAAAUGCGCAGAUAUCAGGAGGAACACCGGUGGCGAAGGCGGGUCUCUGGGCCGAUACUGACGCUGAGGAGCGAAAGCGUGGGGAGCGAACAGG